rnacentral:rRNA from 1 species
AUUCUGUAGCAAGGUUAACCGUAUAGGGGAGCCGGAGGGAAACCGAGUCUUAAUUGGGCGUUAAGUUGCAGGGUAUAGACCCGAAACCCGGUGAUCUAGCCAUGGGCAGGUUGAAGGUUGGGUAACACUAACUGGAGGACCGAACCGACUAAUGUUGAAAAAUUAGCGGAUGACCUGUGGCUGGGGGUGAAAGGCCAAUCAAACCGGGAGAUAGCUGGUUCUCCCCGAAAGCUAUUUAGGUAGCGCCUCGUGAAUUCAUCUCCGGGGGUAGAGCACUGUUUCGGCUAGGGGGCCAUCCCGGCUUACCAACCCGAUGCAAACUGCGAAUACCGGAGAAUGUUAUCACGGGAGACACACGGCGGGUGCUAACGUCCGUCGUGAAGAGGGAAACAACCCAGACCGCCAGCUAAGGUCCCAAAGUCAUGGUUAAGUGGGAAACGAUGUGGGAAGGCCCAGACAGCCAGGAUGUUGGCUUAGAAGCAGCCAUCAUUUAAAGAAAGCGUAAUAGCUCACUGGUCGAGUCGGCCUGCGCGGAAGAUGUAACGGGGCUAAACCAUGCACCGAAGCUGCGGCAGCGAACGUAUCACCCAAGACAACUUUACGGAGUUGACGAUUGACGGAGCGAAGCGACGUCAAAGCGUUCAUUAAAGUCGAGUUGGCUUAGGGAUACGUUCGUUGGGUAGGGGAGCGUUCUGUAAGCCUGUGAAGGUGUGUCGUGAGGCAUGCUGGAGGUAUCAGAAGUGCGAAUGCUGACAUAAGUAACGAUAAAGCGGGUGAAAAGCCCGCUCGCCGGAAGACCAAGGGUUCCUGUCCAACGUUAAUCGGGGCAGGGUGAGUCGACCCCUAAGGCGAGGCCGAAAGGCGUAGUCGAUGGGAAACGGGUUAAUAUUCCCGUACUUGGUGUUACUGCGAAGGGGGGACGGAGAAGGCUAUGUUGGCCGGGCGACGGUUGUCCCGGUUUAAGCGUGUAGGUGUGUGUUCCAGGUAAAUCCGGUU